GCAUACUGUUACCAUUAUACAGCGAAACUGCGAAUGGCUCAUUAAAUCAGUUAUCGUUUAUUUGAUAGUACCUUACUACUUGGAUAACCGUGGUAAUUCUAGAGCUAAUACAUGCUAAAAAUCCCGACUUACGAAGGGAUGUAUUUAUUAGAUUAAAAACCAAUGCCCUUCGGGGCUCUUUGGUGAUUCAUAAUAACUUUUCGAAUCGCAUGGCCUUGCGCCGGCGAUGGUUCAUUCAAAUUUCUGCCCUAUCAACUUUCGAUGGCAGGGUCUUGGCCUGCCAUGGUUACAACGGGUAACGGAGGGUUAGGGCUCGACCCCGGAGAAGGAGCCUGAGAAACGGCUACUACAUCCAAGGAAGGCAGCAGGCGCGCAAAUUACCCAAUCCCGAUUCGGGGAGGUAGUGACAAUAAAUACUGAUACAGGGCUCUUUUGGGUCUUGUAAUUGGAAUGAGUACAAUUUAAAUCCCUUAACGAGGAACAAUUGGAGGGCAAGUCUGGUGCCAGCAGCCGCGGUAAUUCCAGCUCCAAUAGCGUAUAUUAAAGUUGUUGCAGUUAAAAAGCUCGUAGUUGAACCUUGGGCCUGGCUGGCCGGUCCGCCUCACCGCGUGCACUGGUUCGGCCGGGCCUUUCCCUCUGGGGAACCCUAUGGUCUUCACUGAUCGUAGCGGGGAACCAGGACUUUUACUGUGAAAAAAUUAGAGUGUUCAAAGCAGGCCUAUGCUCGAAUACAUUAGCAUGGAAUAAUAAAAUAGGACGUGUGGUUCUAUUUUGUUGGUUUCUAGGACCGCCGUAAUGAUUAAUAGGGACAGUCGGGGGCAUCAGUAUUCAAUUGUCAGAGGUGAAAUUCUUGGAUUUAUUGAAGACUAACUACUGCGAAAGCAUUUGCCAAGGAUGUUUUCAUUAAUCAGGAACGAAAGUUAGGGGAUCGAAGACGAUCAGAUACCGUCGUAGUCUUAACCAUAAACUAUGCCGACUAGGGAUCGGACGGUGUUAUUUUUUGACCCGUUCGGCACCUUACAAGAAAUCAAAGUCUUUGGGUUCUGGGGGGAAUAUGGUCCCAAGGCUGAAACUUAAAGAAAUUGACGGAAGGGCCCACCAGGGGGGGAACCUGGGGGUAAU
rnacentral:rRNA from 1 species